CACAACUCUUGAGUGUGAAUUUCCCAGCAACUAUCUUAUUCCAAAACACUUUCUUUUUUACUUCUUUGAAUCUUUGUAAAUAAUAAGCAAAUUACAUGUGUGAAGCCGUCUUUUUUUCUCUUCUGGAGUGCGGUUGUGGCUGAGGCAGACUUUACAUAGAAACUAGGAACAAAGCCAGCUUUGGCCCUGGACCUUGUCCUAGUCUCAGCCUCAAGCCACAAGCAGCAAGCUUCAGGACCAACCAUAAUGAAGAGUGGGCAUUUUUAUCCCUCAGAUGCAAUCCUGCCCCACUCCUCGAGCAUCUGUUCGCUCGUCUGCUACCCUGCCAGUCCGAUGGAGUGGAGACACUGAGUACUUGAGUAAAAUGUGCAAAAACAAUGACACCCUAGACGAUGUGUUUGACCAAGGAGCAACAAAUUGAAAUUAUACUGAUGGCUGGAUGAAAACUGGACCUGUUGCAGAUCAACCACAAUGUCCAAGAUGUAGGGCCAAUGAUGAAAACAUUAUAUGAAUAAAAACUUGCUUAAUUGUUGUUGUUGUUUAUUUUUCCUUUAUAUAUGAAAUAUAACACUACCAAUAAGCUAAAUGUUAAUAAAAAAAACAUUAUUUUGUACAUUUGAAGUCAGUGUUUCAAUUUUAUGGUUGAACUUUGCUGCUCAUGAUGUUGACAACACUUGCUUUGGAAACAUAAGAACAAUAAUUUUGGCUGUUUUUGAGCUACAUUUAUUGCUAAGUUAUGCUCAAUGCUGAAUUCAUUCAAAACACAUUUGUAAAGGGAAAAUGUAGAUGCGCCCUUUUUUGUUGAGAGGUUGGAUUUUCUUACUAUGAUCCAACUAUUUUUAACAUUAUUACUAACCCUAAAGGGUGGAAAAAAUUUCAGUAAGAACAAUAGAAGACAUACAAAUGCAAAAAAGGGUGUGUGAAGACUUCAAAAACUGUACAAUUUCUACAAGGUAACCUUAAAACGGGUUGUUAUGAAAAAAAAAUUAAACUAGAAAAAAAAAGUUAAAUGAAAAAA